rnacentral:rRNA from 1 species
ACGCUCGACACCUACUGGAGGCAGCAGUGGGGAAUAUUGCACAAUGGGGGAAACCCUGAUGCAGCGACGCCGCGUGAGCGAAGAAGUAUUUCGGUAUGUAAAGCUCUAUCAGCAGGGAAGAAACUGACGGUACCUGACUAAGAAGCACCGGCUAAAUACGUGCCAGCAGCAGCGGUAAUCUGAGCGGGCUGGCAAGGC